UCCUACGGGAGGCAGCAGUAGGGAAUUUGCCGCAAUGGGCGAAAGCCUAACGGAGCAAUGCUGCGUGAGUGAUGACGGCCUUCGGGUUGUAAAACUCUGUUCUGAAGGAAGAAGUUCUGACGGUACUUCAGGAGAAAGCCCCGGCUAACUACGUGCCAGCAGCCGCGGUAAUACGUAGGGGGCGAGCGUUAUCCGGAAUUAUUGGGCGUAAAGCGCGCGCAGGCGGUCAUUUAAGUCAGGUGUGAAAGGCUGCGGCUCAACCGCAGAGCGGCACUUGAAGCUGGAUGACCUGAGUGCAGGAGAAGAGAGCGGAAUUCCCGGUGUAGCGGUGAAAUGCGCAGA
rnacentral:rRNA from 1 species